AGGAUUAACGCUGGCGGCGUGCCUAACACAUGCAAGUCGAACGAGGUAGCAAUACCUAGUGGCAGACGGGUGAGUAACGCGUGGUCAACCUACCGUUGAGUGGGGGAUAACUAGCCGAAAGGUUAGCUAAAUACCGCAUACGUCUCCGAGGGGCAUCCCUUGGCGAUAAAAGGAGCAAUCCGCUCGAUGACGGGACCGCGUCCCAUUAGCUAGAUGGUGGGGUAACGGCCUACCAUGGCACCGAUGGGUAGCUGGUUUGAGAGAGCGACCAGCCACACUGGGACUGAGAAACGGCCCAGACUCCUACGGGAGGCAGCAGUGAGGAAUUUUCCGCAAUGGCGCAAGCCUGACGGAGCGACGCCGCGUGUGGGAAGAAGGCCUUCGGGUCGUAAACCGACUGUCGAAGGGGACGAUAAUGACGGUACCCUUGGAGGAAGCCCGGCUAACUACGUGCCAGCAGCCGC
rnacentral:rRNA from 1 species